CCGGGCCGUGCUGGCUCGUGACGCGCGGUGUAAAUGGGGAAUCGCACUGUGGUUUCCCCCUCUAGUCGGGAGAUCCCGAGCCCCGGGCGGGCGUGGGUGAGGAAUACAGUGCUUCCCCUUUUGCCACCCCUAGGCGCAAGGCUCCAGCUCGCGCCAACCGACCUGGCCCGUCCUCCCUGGCACUCCCAGGAGUCCUUGCCUAGCCAGAGCGCGGGGCGUCAGUCUGAGAUGCGGCUUCUCCGCCCAGGGCACUCAGAUUCUGCAGGAAACCCCCUGAGGGGUUAGCAACCACCUACUAGGUUUCGGACCCAAGAUAGCAGGCCAGGCAAUAUAUGGACCAAAGAACUGAAUUUAAAGUUAAGAAAAUAAAGAAAAAAAGUCUGAGGUUGAACUUCUUCAACACCAAGUUGGCCAAAUUAUGUAUUUUAAUCUUCAGUUCAUUGUUGUUAAAAAAAUAUGUGAGCAUCACAUAACUUUGUGCACAAUAAACAGUAUUUUCACUGAAAAUUAUUACAUAA